GUUAACUUGAAAAUUGUCACUUCUGUGUUACAGUGUCUUCAUAUCCAAACAUGAUGCCUCUGAAUUACUAUCCAACUACAGGUUCAGGACUCUACAAAGUAUGAGCAUUAGAGCCAUUAGACUGAGAACCUGAACUAGCCUGAGAAAACUUGCACAUUCAACUACCUAUUCAACAUCUACAGGAACCUAAAACUGAACACAUUCACAAUGGAACUUUUGUUUUUUACCUCCUCACUUGUCCCUGCCUUCCACCUCCCAUGUCCUUCUCCUCUUGGUAAAUGGCAUCAUGAUUCAUCCAGGCUUUACCUGGAAACCAUGGAGCAGAAGGUCUUGCAAAGGAGGUGAUCAUAGCAAGAUGUGUUCAACACAAG